rnacentral:rRNA from 1 species
AGUGAACGCUGGCGGUAGGCCUAACACAUGCGAGUCGAACGGCAGCACAGUAAGAGCUUGCUCUUACGGGUGGCGAGUGGCGGACGGGUGAGGAAUACAUCGGAAUCUACUUUUUCGUGGGGGAUAACGUAGGGAAACUUACGCUAAUACCGCAUACGACCUACGGGUGAAAGCAGGGGAUCUUCGGACCUUGCGCGAUUGAAUGAGCCGAUGUCGGAUUAGCUAGUUGGCGGGGUAAAGGCCCACCAAGGCGACGAUCCGUAGCUGGUCUGAGAGGAUGAUCAGCCACACUGGAACUGAGACACGGUCCAGACUCCUACGGGAGGCAGCAGUGGGGAAUAUUGGACAAUGGGCGCAAGCCUGAUCCAGCCAUACCGCGUGGGCGAAGAAGGCCUUCGGGCUGUAAAGCCCUUUUGUUGGGAAAGAAAAGCAGCAGGUUAAUACCCCGCUGUUCUGACGGUACCCAAAGAAUAAGCACCGGCUAACUUCGUG